rnacentral:rRNA from 1 species
UACGAAGGGGGCUAGCGCUGCUCGGAAUCACUGGGUUUAAAGGGUGCGUAGGCGGGCUUUUAAGUCAGUGGUGAAAUCUCAUAGCUCAACUAUGAAACUGCCAUUGAUACUAUUAGUCUUGAAUGUCCUGGAGGUCAGCGGAAUAUGUCAUGUAGCGGUGAAAUGCUUAGAUAUGACAUAGAACACCUAUUGCGAAGGCAGCUGGCUACGGGACGAUUGACGCUGAGGCACGAAAGCGUGGGGAUCAAACAGG